AGCUCCGCGCAGUGGCGAUAUCGUAACCGAUGAGGUUAUACCGAGGUGCGAUUAUUGACAAUUGCAAAAAAUUCUAUUUAAUAGUGUAUCAUGUUUUCCACAAGGAACAAUUUUAUUCUGAUAAUGGUUUUAUCUU